rnacentral:rRNA from 1 species
CGUAGGAUGCAAGCGUUAUCCGGAUUUACUGGGUGUAAAGGGAGCGCAGGCGGGACUGCAAGUUGGAUGUGAAAUACCGUGGCUUAACCACGGAACUGCAUCCAAAACUGUAGUUCUUGAGUGAAGUAGAGGCAAGCGGAAUUCCGAGUGUAGCGGUGAAAUGCGUAGAUAUUCGGAGGAACACCAGUGGCGAAGGCGGCUUGCUGGGCUUUAACUGACGCUGAGGCUCGAAAGUGUGGGAGCAAACAGGAUU